rnacentral:rRNA from 1 species
CAUAUCACUAAGCGGAGAAAAAGAAAAUAACUAUGAUUCCUAAAGUAACGGCGAGUGAAAUAGGAAAAGCCCAUAGCCGAAUCCCGUUGUUCUCGACAGCAGCUGGGAGUUGUGGCGUUUGGAACUGUCUAUUGUAACCGAUCGACCGAACUACGCGACUCCUCUUGAUUGUGGUUUGCCCAUAGCAGGUGAAAGGCCUAUAGCCCGUAGUUUCAAAUUGAAGGUCGGCGGUGAUGGCAGUCCUUAGAGUCGGGUUGUUUGGGAUUGCAGCCCGAAGUCGGUGGUAAACUCCACCCAAGGCUAAAUACNACCGCNAGUCCNAUAGCGAACAANUACCGUGAGGGACANUUGAAAAGAACUUUGAAGAGAGAGUUCAAAGUACGUGAAACCGUUCAGAGGUAAACGGGUAGAAAGUCGAAUUAGAGGUUGACAAUCNNGUCGUUGGCCAAGUCGGGGUUGGGCUUGCAGCACGUUAAAGGUUGCAGGUUUACUCGUAAGGCUGGCUACGGCUGUAUUUGUUGGCUUUGGAUCGCCGCAACGACAGUGACUGACCAGUAGCGUAGGCUCCUCUAGUUAACGUAGAUCCGUUUGGGUCUUCACGUUGGCAUACGGGCUUGCGUUCUGCGUACAUGGCACAGUUGAUAAUAAUAGCGGUUCAAGCGUUCCAGCUGGCUGCCGUUCGCUUUGUAUUGGCACGCCGAUGUUAAAUAACUUCGGUUGCUGACAUCAGGGUGGCGGUGGUUGGUUUAACGACGGAACAAGGAUCGCAUUGGCGGCGUUUGACUACGAAUUAUCUACCUGACCCGUCUUGAAACACGGACCAAGGAGUCUAACUUGUGCGCAAGCCAUUGAGAAUUGAAACUCAAAGGCGGAGUGAAAGCAAGCAUGGUGAGAUCUGUCGUUUAUUUGUUGAGAAUAACGGCGGCGCAUCAUCGUCACGCCUCAUAUCGGCUUCGGCUGUAGAGACGCAGACUGAGCGCACAGGUUGGGACCCGAAAGAUGGUGAACUAUGCGAGGCGAGGUCGAAGCCAGAGGAAACUCUGGUGGAGGACUGUAGCGGUUCUAACGUGCAAAUUGAUCGUCGCAGCUUCGUAUAGGGGCGAAAGACUAAUCGAACCAUCUAGUAGCUGGUUCCCUCCGAAGUUUCCCUCAGGAUAGCUGGCACUUUCGGAGAGCAGUUUUGUCCGGUAAAGCGAAUGACUAGAGGCCUUGGGGACAUAACGACCUCAACCUAUUCUCAAACUUUGAAUGGGCAAGAAGAGGGACUUACUUAAUUGAAGUCUCCUCAUUUGUGAAUGCUUGAGUGCCAAGUGGGCCAUUUUUGGUAAGCAGAACUGGCGCUGUGGGAUGAACCAAACGUCUAGCUAAGGUGCCAAAUGCUAACGCUCAUCCGAACCCAUUAAAGGUGUUGGUUGAUAGAGACAGCAGGACGGUGGCCAUGGAAGUCGGAACCCGCCAAGGAGUGUGUAACAACUCACCUGCCGAAUCAACCAGUCCUGAAAAUGGAUGGCGCUGAAGCGUUGUGAACCUAUGCUGGACCGGAAUAGCAGAUGUUUAAAACAUGCCAUUCCGAGUAGGAGGGUCGCUGUGGUAUGCGUUGAAGCCUUGGGCGUGGGCCCGGGUCGAGCUUCCACAGGUGCAGAUCUUGGUGGUAGUAGCAAAUAUUCAAAUGAGAACUUUGAAGGCCGAAGUGGAGAAGGGUUCCAUGUGAACAGCAUUUGAACAUGGGUCAGUCGGUCCUAAGCGAUAGGCAAAUGCCGUUCUGAAAGCAGGCUUAUUUUCAUCGUUUACAUGAUUAUGAUGCCUGAUUUUGGUCGAAAGGGAAUCGGGUUAAUAUUCCCGAACCUGGACGCGGAGAUGGAUAGUAGUGUAACAACUGCUAUCAGUGCGGUAACGCAAACGAUCUCGGAUUCGUCGGCGGGAGUCCUGGGAAGAGUUCUCUCUUCUUUGUAAGGGGCUGAAUCCCUGGAAUCGGCUUAGCCGGAGAUAGGGAUAUUGCAAAACCCGUAAAGCAUCACACUUCUUGUGAUGUCCGGUGCACGACUGUCGACACUUAAAAGUCCGAGCUAGACGUUCGUAAUGUUCGCGCCAGGCCGUACCCAUAUCCGCAGCAGGUCUCCAAGGUGAACAGCCUCUGGCCUUAGACUGAUGUAGUCAAGGGAAGUCGGCAAAUUGGAUCCGUAACUUCGGAACAAGGAUUGGCUCUAUGGGUUGGGCCGUGACGGGCUGUGCUAGGAAGCGAUGCCUGCUAUUGAUGCUUUGGGUCUGACUGGCAACGGUUGGGCCUAGCGUCGAUUGGCGGCGCGUGGAUCUGGCAUGGCUUCGCCGGUGGUUUCGGCUAUCGGCUACGUUCGGCAAAAAGCAACCGACAUAGAACUGGUACGGACCAGGGGAAUCCGACUGUCUAAUUAAAAAACAAAAGC